rnacentral:rRNA from 1 species
UACAGGGGGGGCAAGCGUUGUUCGGAAUUACUGGGCGUAAAGGGUUCGUAGGUGGCCAACUUAGUCAGACGUGAAAUCCCUCAGCUUAACUGGGGAACUGCGUCUGAUACUGGAUGGCUUGAGUGCAGGAGAGGAACGCGGAAUUCCAGGUGUAGCGGUGAAAUGCGUAGAUAUCUGGAGGAACACCGGUGGCGAAGGCGGCGUCCUGGACCAACACUGACACUGAUGAGCGAAAGCCAGGGGAGCAAACGGG